UACGUAGGGUGCGAGCGUUGUCCGGAAUUAUUGGGCGUAAAGAGCUCGUAGGCGGUGUGUCGCGUCGGCCGUGAAAACCUGGGGCUUAACUCUGGGCGUGCGGUCGAUACGGGCAUCACUGGAGUUCGGCAGGGGAGACUGGAAUUCCUGGUGUAGCGGUGAAAUGCGCAGAUAUCAGGAGGAACACCGGUGGCGAAGGCGGGUCUCUGGGCCGAUACUGACGCUGAGGAGCGAAAGCAUGGGGAGCGAACAGG
rnacentral:rRNA from 1 species